AUUGAACGCUGGCGGCAUGCCUUACACAUGCAAGUCGAACGGCAGCACGGGAGCAAUCCUGGUGGCGAGUGGCGAACGGGUGAGUAAAGUAUCGGAACGUGCCCAGUAGUGGGGGAUAACGUAGCGAAAGUCACGCUAAUACCGCAUACGAUCUAUGGAUGAAAGCGGGGGAUCGCAGGACCUCGCGCGAUUGGAGCGGCCGAUAUCAGAUUAGGUAGUUGGUGGGGUAAAGGCCCACCAAGCCGACGAUCUGUAGCUGGUCUGAGAGGACGACCAGCCACACUGGGACUGGGACACGGCCCAGACUCCUACGGGAGGCAGCAGUGGGGAAUUUUGGACAAUGGGCGAAAGCCUGAUCCAGCCAUGCCGCGUGCAGGAUGAAGGCCUUCGGGUUGUAAACUGCUUUUGUACGGAACGAAAAGGUUUGGCCUAAUAAGCUGAGCUCAUGACGGUACCGUAAGAAUAAGCACCGGCUAACUACGUGCCAGCAGCCGCGGUAACAC
rnacentral:rRNA from 1 species